rnacentral:rRNA from 1 species
AACGAACGCUGGCGGCAGGCCUAACACAUGCAAGUCGAACGCCGUAGCAAUACGGAGUGGCAGACGGGUGAGUAACACGUGGGAACGUACCCUUCGGUUCGGAAUAACUCAGGGAAACUUGAGCUAAUACCGGAUACGUCCGAGAGGAGAAAGAUUUAUCGCCGAGGGAUCGGCCCGCGUCUGAUUAGCUUGUUGGUGAGGUAACGGCUCACCAAGGCGACGAUCAGUAGCUGGUCUGAGAGGAUGAUCAGCCACAUUGGGACUGAGACACGGCCCAAACUCCUACGGGAGGCAGCAGUGGGGAAUAUUGGACAAUGGGCGCAAGCCUGAUCCAGCCAUGCCGCGUGAGUGAUGAA